ensembl:rRNA 5S_rRNA 5S ribosomal RNA
UGUUACAGCCAUAUCACCCUGCAGCCCAAGAGCGGUUACUUACUGAAGUUAAGCAGGAUUGAGUCUGGUCAGUUCUUUGAUGGGAGACCACACGGCAAAGCUAGCUUUGCUGUUGGAA